rnacentral:rRNA from 1 species
AUUGAACGCUGGCGGCAUGCCUUACACAUGCAAGUCGAACGGUAACGGGCCUUCGGGUGCCGACGAGUGGCGAACCGGUGAGUAAUACAUCGGAACGUGCCCGAUCGUGGGGGAUAACGAGGCGAAAGCUUUGCUAAUACCGCAUACGAUCUACGGAUGAAAGCAGGGGACCGCAAGGCCUUGCGCGGACGGAGCGGCCGAUGGCAGAUUAGGUAGUUGGUGGGAUAAAAGCUUACCAAGCCGACGAUCUGUAGCUGGUCUGAGAGGAUGAUCAGCCACACUGGGACUGAGACACGGCCCAGACUCCUACGGGAGGCAGCAGUGGGGAAUUUUGGACAAUGGGCGCAAGCCUGAUCCAGCCAUGCCGCGUGCAGGAUGAAGGCCUUCGGGUUGUAAACUGCUUUUGUACGGAACGAAAAGCCUUCUUUUAAUACAGGAGGGUCAUGACGGUACCGUAAGAAUAAGCACCGGCUAACUACGUG